rnacentral:rRNA from 1 species
UGCUUGCACCUUUCAAGCGAGUGGCGAACGGGUGAGUAACACGUGGAUAACCUGCCUCAAGGCUGGGGAUAACAUUUGGAAACAGAUGCUAAUACCGAAUAAAACUUAGUAUCGCAUGAUACAAAGUUGAAAGGCGCUACGGCGUCACCUAGAGAUGGGUCCGCGGUGCAUUAGUUAGUUGGUGGGGUAAAGGCCUACCAAGACAAUGAUGCAUAGCCGAGUUGAGAGACUGAUCGGCCACAUUGGGACUGAGACACGGCCCAAACUCCUACGGGAGGCUGCAGUAGGGAAUCUUCCACAAUGGGCGAAAGCCUGAUGGAGCAACGCCGCGUGUGUGAUGAAGGCUUUAGGGUCGUAAAGCACUGUUGUAUGGGAAGAAAUGCUAGAAUAGGGAAUGAUUCUAGUUCGACGGUACCAUACCAGAAAGGGACGGCUAAAUACGUGCCAGCAGCCGCGGUAAUACGUAUGUCCCGAGCGUUAUCCGGAUUUAUUGGGCGUAAAGCGAGCGCAGACGGUUGAUUAAGUCUGAUGUGAAAGCCCGGAGCUCAACUCCGGAAUGGCAUUGGAAACUGGUUAACUUGAGUGUUGUAGAGGUAAGUGGAACUCCUGGGGAUAG